UACGAAGGGGGCUAGCGUUGCUCGGAUUGACUGGGCGUAAAGGGCGCGUAGGCGGUUCGUACAGUCAGACGUGAAAUUCCUGGGCUCAACCUGGGGGCUGCGUUUGAUACGUGCGGACUUGAGUGCGGAAGAGGGUCGUGGAAUUCCCAGUGUAGAGGUGAAAUUCGUAGAUAUUGGGGAGAACACCGGUGGCGAAGGCGGCGACCUGGUCCGAUACUGACGCUGAGGCGCGAAAGCGUGGGGAGCAAACAGG
rnacentral:rRNA from 1 species